rnacentral:rRNA from 1 species
AUUGAACGCUGGCGGCAGGCCUAACACAUGCAAGUCGAGCGAGCGGCGGACGGGCGAGUAAUGUAUGGGGACUGCCCGAUAGAGGGGGAUAACUACUGGAAACGGUGGCUAAUACCGCAUACUAUCGGAUCACCCUUAUGGGAUUGGCUAGUAGGUGGGGUAAAGGCUCACCUAGGUGACGAUGUCUAGCUGGUCUGAGAGGCUGAUCAGCCACACUGGGAAUGAAACACGGCCCAGACUCAUACGGAGGAAGCAGUGGGGAAUAUUGCACAAUGGGCGCAAGCCUGAUGCAGCAAUGCCGCGUGUAUGAAGAAGGCCUUAGGGUUGUAAAGUACUUUCAGCGGAGAGGCGUUACCCGAAGAAGAAGCACCGGCUAACUCCGUGCCAGCAGCCGCGGUAAUUC